GGAGGAGCUGUGCCCUGGAGCCGUGCCCUACAGCCCCCAUGGGGUGGGCACGGGGAAAGGGCUGCCCGCGGCUCCUCAGCCGGGCGCUGCUCUGAACGGGCACCCUGAGAUGCCUCACCCUGGACACGCCCCAGCGACAGCCCCAAAGGACCCAAAGAAUCCAGCCGGCACCCGGCAGUGUCGGCACGGCGGGGCUGCAGAGCAGCGCGGGCACCCAUUCCCAGGGCCCACCUCCCAGAGCUGUCCCGCGCCCCCCACGGGUGUCUCGCCCACCCCAAAUCCCUGCCCUUCCAGCCGGAGGUGCUCUGAAGGCAGGGCUGUGCAUCCCUUUCCUCGGGGAAAAGAACUCCCCGGGGCCGCUCCCGAGGCUCCGAAGGGACAGCGGCUUCCCGCCCGGAGAGACGUCCUCGCCCGUGCUCAGGGGCUGCCUCGCCCCGGGCCGGGAGCGCGUCCGGCCCCCGCCUUCUCCUGGGCCAACCCAUCCCCUGGAGCCCGGCCCGGGGCGGAAAAGCGGCCGAAUUCCAGGGAACUCGCUCAAGUCCCCCCAGGGACACCAGCGGGGUUGGGGGAGGAGGGUUAUAAACAGCAAAGUCUGUGCAACAUCAACCUGUCCUUGUCCCGAUCCCGCUGAGUAAACCUGGAACCGUGGCUUCUUCCUGGCAAACCUGGCGUUAAAGCAGCAGCUCUGCGGGGGAAGAUCCGGGCUCCAGGAGGCACUGGGAGGCUUUUCCAGCAGGAAUUCGGCAUGGAAUUGCGGGCUGUUUCCCCAGCUGGGAGCUGCAAGGAAUUCAGGCCAGGGAAUGGACAGCAGGGAACAGCUGUACAUGCAAAGGCAGAAAGAGAAGUUUCCCAGGGAGAAGAACAGGAACUCACAGCCACCAAGGCCUGACAGUCCCCUGCAGCCAGAGCUCAGCACACAGCCAGUCAGGCAAUUCCAGCAUCUAAAAGGAAAAAAAAAGAACAAAAAAAGUGAUUUAUUUUGGUUUAAAGUUACUUUAAGUUGUUCCAAGCAAA